AUAGAGAGAGAGAGUUUUGUUUUAAAAUAAAAUUUAAAUUUUUAAGAUUUAAAAUUUGUAAUCUGAAAAUUAAAAUUUUAAAUUUUAAAGUUGAUAUUUUAAAUUUUUAAAUUUUAAAUUUGAUAUUUUAUAUCUUUCAAAUUUAAAUUUGGUCUUAAAUUUAAAAUUUAAAAUUUAAAAUUUAAGAGUUAAAAAUUUAUAUUUAAAAUUAUAAAUGUAAAAUUUAAAAAUUUAAAUUCAAAUAUAAUGAGAGGGGUAAUAUAAUNUAUAAAUAAAAAAUAAUUAUAUUACCUCUUUCAUUAUAUUUGAAUUUAAAUUUUUAAAUUUUACAUUUAUAAUUUUAAAUUAAAAAUUUUAACUUUUAAAUAUUAAAAUUUGAAAUUAAAAUUUAAAACUUCAACUUUUAAAUAUUAAAAUUUGAAUUUAAAAUUUAAAAUUUAAAAUUUAAAUUCAAAUAUAAUGAGAGGGGUAAUAUAAUUAUUUUUUAUUUAUAACUAUCCAUUAUUCUUCUUAUUUGAUUUUAUCUAUCCAAAUACUAUUUUUCUUAUUCCCAGGAACAACCUAAUUUUCAUUCAAACACAAAAUUGGUCUAUUUCUCGCUUAUACCUGAACUUAUAUCUAUCCCUGGAAUAAAUAGUUCUUACUUAUAUUCGAACCAAACGAA
rnacentral:lncRNA from 1 species